rnacentral:rRNA from 1 species
GACGAACGCUGGCGGCGUGCUUAACACAUGCAAGUCGAGCGGUAAGGCCCUUUCGGGGGUACACGAGCGGCGAACGGGUGAGUAACACGUGGGUGACCUGCCCUCAGCUCUGGGAUAAGCCUGGGAAACCGGGUCUAAUACUGGAUAUGACUCCAUGACGCAUGUUGUGGGGUGGAAAGCCUUGUGCGGCUGAGGAUGGGCCCGCGGCCUAUCAGCUUGUUGGUGGGGUGACGGCC